CCUACGGGAGGCUGCAGUGAGGAAUAUUGGUCAAUGGGCGAGAGCCUGAACCAGCCAAGUCGCGUGAGGGAGUACUGCCCUAUGGGUUGUAAACCUCUUUUGUCGGGGAGCACAAGCCGGACGUGUCCGGCUGUGAGAGUACCCGAAGAAAAAGCAUCGGCUAACUCCGUGCCAGCAGCCGCGGUAAUACGGAGGAUGCGAGCGUUAUCCGGAUUUAUUGGGUUUAAUGGGUGCACAGGCGGAUUUUUAAGUCCGCGGUCAAAUCGUGGGGCUCAACCCCAUCCAGCCGUUGAAACUGGGGAUCUAGAGUGUGCGAGAGGUAGGCGGAAUUCGUGGGGUAGCGGUGAAAUGCUUAGAUAUCACGAAGAACUCCGAUUGCGAAGGCAGCCUACUAAACUGCCACUGACAUUGAUGCUCGAAAGUGUGGGUAUCAAACAGGAUUAGAUACCCGAGUAGUC
rnacentral:rRNA from 1 species